rnacentral:rRNA from 1 species
GGUUAAGCGACUAAGCGUACACGGUGGAUGCCCUGGCAGUCAGAGGCGAUGAAGGGCGUGCUAAUCUGCGAUAAGCGCCGGUAAGGUGAUAUGAACCGUUAUAACCGGCGAUACCCGAAUGGGGAAACCCAGUGUGACUCGUCACACUAUCAUUAACUGAAUCCAUAGGUUAAUGAGG